AGCUCCCUUAUUUCCUGUCCUCAAAUACUGCAAUCCCACAUAAGGAUAACAAAUAAAGGAUUUAUCUACUAAACAACUGAAAAUAAGAAGAGAGCAUUUUUGUAGAUCAUUCCCUGAAUUGGUGCCCGUAUGUAAGAUUUCCAUAUUUAAAGAUACCAAAUGAGGAUGCUGUUUAGCAGAUAGCACCUUAUUUGGUGUCCUUAAAUAUGGCAAUCCCACAAAGGAUAGCUAAUAGAGGA